rnacentral:rRNA from 1 species
AUGCUCGGGGCGGAGGACCCAGAAUCCUUCUUCGCGACCGCGCCGCCGCUGCGCGACGCCGACGCCGACGCCGUCCGCACAAAGCUGCAAGAGUUCAUCGCCCGCAACUCCAUCAUCUCAGCGGGCGGGGUCGACAGGCGGCCUAUCGUGUGCGUCACGUCGGGCGGGACGACGGUGCCGCUGGAGCAGCGGUGCAUCCGGUACAUCGACAACUUCAGCUCCGGCCACCGCGGCGCUGCCUCCACCGAGUAUAUCUUGAAGGCUGGUUAUGCUGUUAUCUUUCUCCACCGACGAGGGAGUUGUCAGCCUUACUGUAGGUUCCUGCCUGAUGAUUCAUUCCUCAAAUUCUUAGACGUCAAUGAAGAAUCAAAAGUUCAAGUGGCCGAGUCCCAUCAGACAACCGUAAAGGAAUCAAUUUGGCACUAUUGCAAGGCUAUGGAAGGUGGCUCUCUGCUGAAACUCCAAUUCACCACAAUAUUUGAAUACCUUCAGUUACUGAGGAUGGUGGCUACAUCGGUGAGCACAGUCGGGCAACGCGGGAUGUUCUAUCUUGCUGCAGCCGUAUCAGACUUUUAUGUUCCUUGGGAUAGCAUGGCAAAACAUAAGAUUCAGUCAGCUGGAGGCCCUCUAGAGAUGAGGCUCAGUCAGGUUCCAAAAAUGCUUUCUGUAUUGCGGGACCAAUGGGCUCCCUUGGCAUUUUGUGUAUCUUUCAAGCUGGAGACAAAUUCAGACAUUCUUGUCCAGAAAGCAAAUAUGGCUCUGAACAAGUACAAGAUGAACAUUGUCGUGGCUAAUUUGCUUGCAACAUACAAAGAUCAAGUCAUUAUUGUCACAAACGGAGCAAGGAAUACUGUCCGGACGCGCAACAGUGAUGACGAUUUGGAAGAGCAGAUAAUCAAACUCCUAGCACAGAAGCACUCAAAGUAUAUUUGUUGA